GAUGAACGCUGGCGGCGUGCCUAAUACAUGCAAGUCGAGCGAACAGACGAGGAGCUUGCUCCUCUGACGUUAGCGGCGGACGGGUGAGUAACACGUGGAUAACCUACCUAUAAGACUGGGAUAACUUCGGGAAACCGGAGCUAAUACCGGAUAAUAUAUUGAACCGCAUGGUUCAAUAGUGAAAGACGGUUUUGCUGUCACUUAUAGAUGGAUCCGCGCCGCAUUAGCUAGUUGGUAAGGUAACGGCUUACCAAGGCAACGAUGCGUAGCCGACCUGAGAGGGUGAUCGGCCACACUGGAACUGAGACACGGUCCAGACUCCUACGGGAGGCAGCAGUAGGGAAUCUUCCGCAAUGGGCGAAAGCCUGACGGAGCAACGCCGCGUGAGUGAUGAAGGUCUUCGGAUCGUAAAACUCUGUUAUUAGGGAAGAACAAAUGUGUAAGUAACUAUGCACGUCUUGACGGUACCUAAUCAGAAAGCAACGGCUAACUGCGUG
rnacentral:rRNA from 1 species